rnacentral:rRNA from 1 species
GAUGAACGCUGGCGGCGUGCCUAAUACAUGCAAGUCGAGCGAACAGACGAGGCGCUUGCUCCUCUGACGUUAGCGGCGGACGGGAGAGUAACACGUGGAUAACCUACCUAUAAGACUGGGAUAACUUCGGGAAACCGGAGCUAAUACCGGAUAAUCUAUUGAACCGCAUGGUUCAAUAGUGAAAGACGGUUUUGCUGUCACUUAUAGAUGGAUCCGCGCCGCAUUAGCUAGUUGGUAAGGUAACGGCUUACCAAGGGAACGAUGCGUAGCCGACCUGAGAGGGUGAUCGGCCACACUGGAACGUGGACACGGUCCAGACGCCUACGAGAGGGAGCAGUAGGGAAUCUGCGGCAAUGGGCGAAAGCCUGACGGAGCAACGCCGCGUGAGUGAUGAAGGUCUUCGGAUCGGAAAGCUCUGUUAUUAGGGAAGAACAAAUGUGUAAGUAACUAUGCACUUCUUGACGGUACCUAAUCAGAAAGCCACGGCUAACUACGUG